GACGAACGCUGGCGGCGUGCUUAACACAUGCAAGUCGAACGGAAAGGCCCUGCUUUUGUGGGGUGCUCGAGUGGCGAACGGGUGAGUAACACGUGAGUAACCUGCCCUUGACUUUGGGAUAACUUCAGGAAACUGGGGCUAAUACCGGAUAGGAGCUCCUGCUGCAUGGUGGGGGUUGGAAAGUUUCGGCGGUUGGGGAUGGACUCGCGGCUUAUCAGCUUGUUGGUGGGGUAGUGGCUUACCAAGGCUUUGACGGGUAGCCGGCCUGAGAGGGUGACCGGCCACAUUGGGACUGCGAUACGGCCCAGACUCGUACGGGAGGCAGCAGUGGGGAAUAUUGCACAAUGGGCGGGAGCCUGAGGCAGCAACGCCGCGUGCGGGAUGACGGCCUUCGGGUUGUAAACCGCUUUCGCCUGUGACGAAGCGUGAGUGACGGUAAUGGGUAAAGAAGCACCGGCUAACUACGUG
rnacentral:rRNA from 1 species